AUUGAACGCUGGCGGCAUGCCUUACACAUGCAAGUCGAACGGCAGCGCGGACUUCGGUCUGGCGGCGAGUGGCGAACGGGUGAGUAAUACAUCGGAACGUACCCUGUUGUGGGGGAUAACUAGUCGAAAGAUUAGCUAAUACCGCAUACGACCUGAGGGUGAAAGUGGGGGACCGCAAGGCCUCACGCAGCAGGAGCGGCCGAUGUCUGAUUAGCUAGUUGGUGGGGUAAAGGCCCACCAAGGCGACGAUCAGUAGCUGGUCUGAGAGGACGAUAAGCCACACGAGAGAGUGACCCACGACACAGGGACUGAGGGAGGGCACAGGUGGGAAAUUUGGGCAGUUGGGGCAAACCUGAUCCAGCAAUGCCGCGUGUGUGAAGAAGGCCUUCGGGUUGUAAAGCACGUUUGUCCGGAAAGAAAUCGCGCUGGUUAAUACCUGGCGUGGAUGACGGUACCGGAAGAAUAAGCACCGGCUAACUACGUG
rnacentral:rRNA from 1 species